rnacentral:lncRNA from 1 species
GUCUGAUCUUACUAUAUUUUUCCAUCCUUCUACUCUCUUAAGAGUUGCUAUGUUUUUCUCUGUUCUUUUAAAAUGGAAACAAAGAAAAGAUUGUACUUGACAAGAUAAGGAAACAGAAGUUGAUUCUGAUCAUCUCACCAUGGUAUACUUCCGGUAAUAUUGCUGCAAGAGGGGAGAGAGCACAGUUGAAACAAAAGGCAGGAGAGUUUUCCGGAGCUGGAGUGUCUACCCUAGUUGGUUGCCAGGAGCCCUGCACCAAGUUACCCCUCCAGAUACCUCCUACUGCUGCUGACCGCCUGUUCCCAUCACCUGAAGCAAGUGAGGACAUCAAUGUUUCUCCUAGAGGCUCCCAGAGAUUCCCAUGUGUCCCCCGACCCCCGUAUUCCCAAGAGAUGAUGCAACUUGCCCCUACAUUUUCUUCCCCCCAUUACAAAUCCCAGUGUCUCUGAAGUCCUCCCUCUCCCACCUGGGGGAGGAAAAAUGAAGCCCUGUAGCUUUAUCUCUUCAAUAGCUUUAUUUUCUCCCCACAAAUACCAGAGGCUCUGCUUCCACUUCCUGUCUACCUGAAACUUCCCAAAUAUAAAAUCAAAACUGGAAUUCAAAACUGAGAGCAUAUAAAUCAAUUUCUA